rnacentral:rRNA from 1 species
ACGCCAGACUCCUACGGGAGGCAGCAGUGGGGAAUAUUGCACAAUGGGGGAAACCCUGAUGCAGCGACGCCGCGUGAGUGAAGAAGUAUUUCGGUAUGUAAAGCUCUAUCAGCAGGGAAGAAAAUGACGGUACCUGAUUAAGAGGCCCCGGCUAACUACGUGCCAGCAGCCGCGGUAAUACGUAGGGGGCAAGCGUUAUCCGGAUUUACUGGGUGUAAAGGGAGCGUAGACGGCAGCACAAGUCUGGAGUGAAGUGCCGGGGCUUAACCCCGGAACUGCUUUGGAAACUGUGCAGCUAGAGUGCAGGAGAGGUAAGUGGAAUUCCUAGUGUAGCGGUGAAAUGCGUAGAUAUUAGGAGGAACGCCAGUGGCGAAGGCGGCCUGCUGGGCUUUAACUGACGCUGAGGCUCGAAAGCGUGGGGAGCAAACAGGAUUAGAUACCCUAGUAC